rnacentral:rRNA from 1 species
GAUGAACGCUGGCGGCGUGCUUAACACAUGCAAGUCGAACGAUGAAGCCCAGCUUGCUGGGUGGAUUAGUGGCGAACGGGUGAGUAACACGUGAGUAACCUGCCCUUAACUCUGGGAUAAGCCUGGGAAACGGGGUCUAAUACCGGAUAGGAGCGUCCACCGCAUGGUGGGUGUUGGAAAGAUUUAUCGGUUUUGGAUGGACUCGCGGCCUAUCAGCUUGUUGGUGAGGUAAUGGCUCACCAAGGCGAAGACGGGUAGCCCGCCUGAGAGGGUGACCGGCCACCCUGGGACUGAGACACGGCCCAGACUCCUACGGGAGGCAGCAGUGGGGAAUAUUGCACAAUGGGCGCAAGCCUGAUGCAGCGACGCCGCGUGAGGGAUGACGGCCUUCGGGUUGUAAACCUCUUUCAGUAGGGAAGAAGCGAAAGUGACGGUACCUGCAGAAGAAGCACCGGCUAACUACGUG